GCAAGCUGAGAAGGGCAUGCGAAGGAUGCCUAGGCGAUAGGAGGCGAAGAAGGACGCGGAUGGCUGCGAAAAGUCACGGGGAGCCGCCAAUCAGGCAUAGAUCCGUGGGUAUCCGAAUGGGAAAACCCGCAUAAGUGAAGAACUUAUGCAUUCAGUGAUGAAUCCAUAGUUGCUGAAAGCCGACCCAGGGAAGUGAAACAUCUCAGUACCUGGAGGAAAAGAAAGAAAAAUCGAUUCCGCAAGUAGUGGCGAGCGAACGCCGAAAAACAAGCCCAAACCGUACAUAUGAAAAUGUGUAAGGGGUAGCGGGGCCGCAGAAGGGACUGGACGAGAUAGGCGAACAGGCUGGGAAGCCUGGCGAAAAAGCGUGAGAGCCGCGUAGCCGAAAUUUCGGAGAGCCUGGCGGGGACCCCAAGUAGCACGGAGCACGAGGAAUUCUGUGCGAAUCAGCGAGGACCAUCUCGUAAGGCUAAAUACUACCUAUCGACCGAUAGUGGACAAGUACCGUGAGGGAAAGGUGAAAAGAACCCCGGUGAGGGGAGUUCAAAGACCCUGAAAUCGCAUGCCUACAAGCAGCUCGAGGGCUACGCCGGAGCGAUCCGGAAUGCCUGAGAGUGUACCUUUUGCAUCAUGAAUCGGCGACUUAAUGUACGUAGCGAGGUUAAGCCGGUAGGUGGAGCCGAAGCGAAAGCGAGUCCGAAAAGGGCGAAUAGUUGCGUGUAUUAUAACCCGAAGCGAGAUGAUCUAUGCAUGGCCAGGGUGAAGCGGUGGUAAAGCAGCGUGGAGGCCCGAACUCGUGAAGGUUGAAAACUUCUGAGAUGAGCUGUGCAUAGGGGUGAAAGGCCAAUCAAAUCUCGUGAUAGCUGGUUCUCCUCGAAAGAUAUUUAGGUAUCGCCUUGCGUAUCACUAAUGGAGGUAGAGCACUGGAACGGCUAGGGGUCCCACCAGACUACCAAACCGUACCAAACUCCGAAUGCCAUUAAGUGGAGCGCAGGAGGCAGUCGCUGGGUGAUAACGUUCAGCGGCAAAAGGGGAACAACCCAGACCGACGGCUAAGGUCCCGAAGUCCAGGCUAAGUGAAGAGAAGGAUGUGGCAGGACAGAGACAGCCAGGAGGUUGGCCUAGAAGCAGCCAUCCUUCAAAGAAAGCGUAAUAGCUCACUGGUCAAGUCAAGCCGCGCCGAAAAUAUAACGGGGCUCAAGCCUGGCACCGAAGCCACGGGUGCAUAUGAAAAUAUGUGCGGUAGAGGAGCGUCGCAUGUGGAGAGAAGGUCGACCGGAAGGGCGGCUGGACCGCAUGGGAGUGCUGAUGCCGAUAUGAGUAGCGAUAAGGCGUGUGAGAUUCACGCCCGCCGAAAAUCCAAGGUUUCCUGGGGCAGGCCGAUCCGCCCAGGGUUAGCCGGAUCCUAAGCUGAGGCCGAAGGGCGUAGGCGAUGGGCAGCAGGUUGAUAUUCCUGCGCUGUCUGAAAGUUGAUUGAUACGAGGCGUAACGGAGAAGGGUAGCCGGCCGGUAGAUGGAGCAGCCGGUGGGGCAUCAUAGGGGCAAGACGUACGAGAAAAAGGCGUUUUGGCGAAAGCGACCCUGAGGGUGUCACCUCCGCAAGGAGCAGGUAAUCCCAGGCUUCCAAGAAAAGCGUCGCGGGUAGACUGAAGACAACCGUACCGCAGACCGACUCAGGUGGAUGAGGAGAAAAUCCUAAGGCGACUGAGAGAACUCUCUCCAAGGAACUCGGCAAAUUGCCACCGUAACUUCGGAAGAAGGUGGGCUCGUGGGCGUGAGGCGAUGCAACGCGUCAAGCGCCUGUGAGACGCAGCGAAAUAGGGGUUGCGACUGUUUACCAAAAACACAGGACCCUGCAAACACGCUAAGUGGACGUAUAGGGUCUGACACCUGCCCGGUGCCGGAAGGUUAAGGGGAUUUGUCAGCCGCAAGGCGAAGCGAUGAACCGAAGCCCCGGUAAACGGCGGCCGUAACUAUAACGGUCCUAAGGUAGCGAAAUUCCUUGUCGGGUAAGUUCCGACCUGCACGAAAGGUGUAACGACAUCCCCGCUGUCUCGGAGAGGGACUCAGCGAAAUUGAAAUAGCUGUGCAGAUGCAGUUUACCUGCAGCAAGACGGAAAGACCCCGUGAACCUUUACUAUA
rnacentral:rRNA from 1 species